UGGACAUGGCCUUUAAAUGCUAUAAGCCCUGGUGGUAAUGUUCCAAGCCUCCAAAGUGUGAAGUUUGACUUCAGAUUCUACAUACAAAUGAGUAAUGGAAGCUCAUCAGUUACUUUCAAAUGUAAAAAAUAUAGACUAUACCGCAGAUAGUUUCUAUAAUCAACUAGAAUUGAAAUUAAUACUGAUAAAAAAUGAGACCAAUGAUGUUCACUUCUAAUACUUGUAUAUGUUCACUUGUUUAAUACUUGUAAAUGUUCACUUGUUUACAAUGAAAAUGACAAAAAAAAGUUUAUCAAUUCUUACCUCCUUGACCCAAUGAUGGUAUUUAUCUUUGAUAGUUGUCUUCCUCCAUGCAUUCAGGUCAAAAAUGUUCAUACCAUAUGCCCAAGCACACUCUGAAGGGUCAAAAUUACUUGCGAUGAGGGGAUGAGAAAAGUUAAAAUAAUUCCUGAACCUCUUAGACAUCACCCAACUGUCUCCACCUCUGCAAGUCUCAAC
rnacentral:lncRNA from 1 species